rnacentral:rRNA from 1 species
UACGUAGGGGGCUAGCGUUGUCCGGAUUUAUUGGGCGUAAAGAGCGUGUAGGCGGCCAGGUAGGUCUGGUGUGAAAACUCGAGGCUUAACCUCGAGAUGUCAUCGGAAACCAUCUGGCUAGAGUCCGGAAGAGGAGAGUGGAAUUCCUGGUGUAGCGGUGAAAUGCGCAGAUAUCAGGAAGAACACCAAUGGCGAAGGCGGCUCUCUGGGACGGUACUGACGCUGAGACGCGAAAGCGUGGGGAGCGAACAGG